rnacentral:rRNA from 1 species
AUGAACGCUAGCUACAGGCUUAACACAUGCAAGUCGAGGGGCAGCAUGGUCUUAGCUUGCUAAGGCCGAUGGCGACCGGCGCACGGGUGAGUAACACGUAUCCAACCUGCCGUCUACUCUUGGACAGCCUUCUGAAAGGAAGAUUAAUACAAGAUGGCAUCAUGAGUCCGCAUGUUCACAUGAUUAAAGGUAUUCCGGUAGACGAUGGGGAUGCGUUCCAUUAGAUAGUAGGCGGGGUAACGGCCCACCUAGUCUUCGAUGGAUAGGGGUUCUGAGAGGAAGGUCCCCCACAUUGGAACUGAGACACGGUCCAAACUCCUACGGGAGGCAGCAGUGAGGGAUAUUGGUCAAUGGGCGAGAGCCUGAACCAGCCAAGUAGCGUGAAGGAUGACUGCCCUAUGGGUUGUAAACUUCUUUUAUAAAGGAAUAAAGUCGGGUAUGGAUACCCGUUUGCAUGUACUUUAUGAAUAAGGAUCGGCUAACUCCGUGCCAGCAGCCGCGGUAAUACGGAGGAUCCGAGCGUUAUCCGGAUUUAUUGGGUUUAAAGGGAGCGUAGAUGGAUGUUUAAGUCAGUUGUGAAAGUUUGCGGCUCAACCGUAAAAUUGCAGUUGAUACUGGAUAUCUUGAGUGCAGUUGAGGCAGGCGGAAUUCGUGGUGUAGCGGUGAAAUGCUUAGAUAUCACGAAGAACUCCGAUUGCGAAGGCAGCCUGCUAAGCUGCAACUGACAUUGAGGCUCGGAAGUGUGGGUAUCAAACAGGAUUAGAUACCCUGGUAGUCCACACGGUAAACGAUGAAUACUCGCUGUUUGCGAUAUACUGCAAGCGGCCAAGCGAAAGCGUUAAGUAUUCCACCUGGGGAGUACGCCGGCAACGGUGAAACUCAAAGGAAUUGACGGGGGCCCGCACAAGCGGAGGAACAUGUGGUUUAAUUCGAUGAUACGCGAGGAACCUUACCCGGGCUUAAAUUGCAGAUGAAUUACGGUGAAAGCCGUAAGCCGCAAGGCAUCUGUGAAGGUGCUGCAUGGUUGUCGUCAGCUCGUGCCGUGAGGUGUCGGCUUAAGUGCCAUAACGAGCGCAACCCUUGUUGUCAGUUACUAACAGGUUCCGCUGAGGACUCUGACAAGACUGCCAUCGUAAGAUGUGAGGAAGGUGGGGAUGACGUCAAAUCAGCACGGCCCUUACGUCCGGGGCUACACACGUGUUACAAUGGGGGGUACAGAGGGCCGCUACCACGCGAGUGGAUGCCAAUCCCCAAAACCUCUCUCAGUUUGGACUGGAGUCUGCAACCCGACUCCACGAAGCUGGAUUCGCUAGUAAUCGCGCAUCAGCCACGGCGCGGUGAAUACGUUCCCGGGCCUUGUACACACCGCCCGUCAAGCCAUGGGAGCCGGGGGUACCUGAAGUGCGUAACCGCGAGGAGCGCCCUAGGGUAAAACUGGUGACUGGGGCU